GUGUUGUAUGAAAGGAGAGAAGGUUAGUAUUCCCCUUGAUAAGGGUGGAAGGGGCCCUAGUGACCUUACAACACACAAAUGGUUACGGCAAUGCCAUCUACUUAGUGGCAUCUAAUCAUGUUUUUUA